GACGAACGCUGGCGGCGUGCUUAACACAUGCAAGUCGAACGGUAAGGCCCUUCGGGGUACACGAGUGGCGAACGGGUGAGUAACACGUGGGUGAUCUGCCCUGCACUUCGGGAUAAGCCUGGGAAACUGGGUCUAAUACCGGAUAGGACUCCUGGCUUCAUGGUUGGGGGUGGAAAGCUUUUGCGGUGUGGGAUGGGCCCGCGGCCUAUCAGCUUGUUGAGGGGGUAAUGGCCUACCAAGGCGACGACGGGUAGCCGGCCUGAGAGGGUGACCGGUAACACUGGGAGUGAGAUACGCGCCAGACUCCUACGGGAGGCAGCAGUGGGGAAUAUUGCACAAUGGGCGCAAGCCUGAUGCAGCGACGCCGCGUGAGGGAUGACGGCCUUCGGGUUGUAAACCUCUUUCAGCAGGGAAUAAGCGAAAGUGAAGGUACCUGCAGAAGAAGCACCGGCUAACUAUGUGCCAGCAGCCGCUGUAA
rnacentral:rRNA from 1 species